CCUCAUCUAAUCCCCAAUCUCUUCUUCUUCUUCUUCCUCCUCUCAGUGCGCCGCCCACUUCGCCUUCGGCCCCUGCACCGCCUUCGUCGCCGCCGCCUACUUCGACCGCUUCCUGCGCCAAGAAAACAUCGACGUGAGCAAGCUAAAAAAGACAAUAAAAAUCCAAUCUUGAUCAUCUCCCUGCUCUCAAUUCUCCGAUUCCGAUUCCGAUUCCUGUAAAUUGAGCUGAGUUUGUGUUAUAUAUACAUAUAUAUGCAUACACCACAUACAUUUUACUUGUGUCGAUAGGAGCGGCCGCAAUGGGCGCUGGAUUUGCUCAAGGUGGCGUGCGUGUCGCUGGCGGCGAAGAUGGAGGAGCGGAGCCCGACGCCGCUCCCUGCCAUCGCCCGCCGCGACGAGCACCAAUUCGGCAGCGC
rnacentral:lncRNA from 1 species